rnacentral:rRNA from 1 species
GGUUUAGCGGCGGACGGGUGAGUAACACGUGGGCAACCUGCCCUGCAGAUCGGGAUAACUCCGGGAAACCGGUGCUAAUACCGAAUAGUUUGUUUCACCUCCUGGUGAAACACGGAAAGACGGUUUCGGCUGUCACUGCAGGAUGGGCCCGCGGCGCAUUAGCUAGUUGGUGGGGUAAUGGCCCACCAAGGCGACGAUGCGUAGCCGACCUGAGAGGGUGAUCGGCCACACUGGGACUGAGACACGGCCCAGACUCCUACGGGAGGCAGCAGUAGGGAAUCUUCCGCAAUGGACGCAAGUCUGACGGAGCAACGCCGCGUGAGUGACGAAGGUUUUCGGAUCGUAAAACUCUGUUGUGAGGGAAGAACACGUACCAGCUAACUACUGGUACCUUGACGGUACCUCACCAGAAAGCCACGGCUAACUACGUGCCAGCAGCCGCGGUAAUACGUAGGUGGCAAGCGUUGUCCGGAAUUAUUGGGCGUAAAGCGCGCGCAGGCGGUCCUUUAAGUCUGAUGUGAAAGCCCACGGCUCAACCGUGGA